NUAUAUGAAUAUGAACUAUAGUGAAAAUAUCUUGCACAUUUUGGGACUCAAAUAAUUGUUUUCACUCUAACAAAUGAUGAAUUUAUAUAUAUACAUUGUUUCUCUUCUUUGAAUGACUCAAUUGCCACAACAAAUAUAAUAAAGAGUGCACAAUGAAAGAACUUGGAGUUAAAAGACUUGGUUUCCAUAUUUGAUAAACUAGGAG
rnacentral:lncRNA from 1 species